rnacentral:other from 1 species
UGUUCCCUGCGGGGUGCGUGAUGCCCAGCAGAAAUUCGAACCGAUACGUCCAUUCCGGGGUCCGUUUCGGUCGCCAUGUGCAAGCCCUCCCCCUUCCGGGGAUGAGGGAAGCCUGCGGUGACAUGAUUUCGGUCCCCACCUGGCUUUCAAGGGUUCAAUGGAUGCUGGACACACGGCUCGGCGGGGGACUC